UGAACCAUCUCUACCACCUGGUGUAGAGACAGAUCAACUUUAUUUGAUGGAAAAUCAGUCCCAGGAUGAUGAGGCUGACAAAUUCCAGUGCUGGUUGCUAUUGGCGUGGUGCCCAUGAUGUGCUGGAAAGUGUUCACCUGCCACAUCCAUCAUCAACAGAGGCCCAGGAAUGUGGCCUGUUGGGUAAGCUGGGCCAAAGGUGAGGCAGACCCAGAAAGCACAGGACAAGCAGAGAUGGAAAUCCCUGACGAUCUCCAGGAUGGGCACCAGCGCUAGACCCUGCAGACUAGAGCUCUGGGAUUCACCUGAGACUCCAGAUGCCUUGGUUUCCAUACCUGUCCAGAGGGGGAGGAAUCAAAG